AUUUCCUUCCAUACAAGCGUAUUAAAACAAGGCAAGAGGUGUUUAUAUAUUUAAUACGCAGUCACAGAUGUCAACAGUUGAAUUUACAUUUAUAUAUUAACAAUUUUCGAUCGUUCCUUUUCGUGUUACAAUUUCGACUAAAUCACUGCACUUUCAGCUUAUUAUGAUAUAAAAUGUCGUCAACAAUUUGAAUAGAAAUUGGCAUAUAUCAACGAUAAACUUUCAAUUGAAACCUUGUCUUGACAUGAAUCGACGACAUUGUGAAUUCACUGCUCUGCAAAGUCACUCGUUAUCUCUAAACAAUCGAAGUAAAUCGCUGCGUCGGCUUUCGAUAACGUUCUCAGCUCCUUAGUCAAAGUUCCCUUUGUAUUUGCAAUGUUGAAGAGCAGGAUUAUUCGUUAAUUUUACAGUUUUACUCGUCUUGUAAGCCAUCGUGUUGAAAACAAAAUUUUCUUCACUCCUUGCCGUAAGCCCUUCCUACUCCCCCUAAGUUUGAGUUUGUCGAAAUUUGCAUGCGCGAGCCGGUAUGCGCAGUGCAAAUUUUUGUGUCGAUUUAUGGCAGGC